GCUGGAAUGAUGAUGGAGUCUUCUGUGAUCUGGGCAGUCCCACUGACAGAUCAUCUUUAUGCAGUGUGCCACAUCAACCCUGAUAAAACAAGGAGGAAGUUUUGCAGACUGGUUCCCAAGUAGCAAACGGAAGCAUUCGUUAAUGUAUGUCUUCAGAUCGGGCAUUUGCACAACUGGGACUGAGCAGUUGUCCCCUGUCAGAACGCCUUGAUAUAAGAAGAUGUGGCCAGAUGUACCAUUUGGUCUCACCAGUCUUCUCACAACUGAGCCAGUUGCGUCAAAGCAAACUACUGAGGGGCUUUUUUUGGACAAUGCCUUAUACACAUGUAGCUGUGUUUGACUCCAAUAGUGG